GACGAACACUGGCGGCGUGCCUAAUACAUGCAAGUAGAACGCUGAAGAGAGGAGCUUGCUCUUCUUGGAAGAGUUGCGAACGGGUGAGUAACGCGUAGGUAACCUGCCUUGUAGCGGGGGAUAACUAUUGGAAACGAUAGCUAAUACCGCAUAACAAUGGAUGACCCAUGUCAUUUAUUUGAAAGGGGCAACUGCUCCACUACAAGAUGGACCUGCGUUGUAUUAGCUAGUAGGUGAGGUAACGGCUCACCUAGGCGCGGAUACAUAGCCGACCUCUGAGGGUGAUCGGCCACACUGGGACUGAGACACGGCCCAGACUCCUACGGGAGGCAGCAGUAGGGAAUCUUCGGCAAUGGGGGCAACCCUGACCGAGCAACGCCGCGUGAGGGAAGAAGGUUUUCGGAUCGUAAAGCUCUGUUGUAAGUCAAGAACGAGUGUGAGAGUGGAAAGUUCACACUGUGACGGUAGCUUACCAGAAAGGGACGGCUAACUACGUGCCAGCAGCAGCCGCAG
rnacentral:rRNA from 1 species